AGGAGCUGGGAAAAGGAGUCAGAGCUGUGCCCCAGCCACGGAUUCUGCCUUUCCCACCCGAGCGUGGGGCUCUGACUGCUGGAAAUGAACAGAACAUUUUUAAUUGACUUCCAGUGCCAGGGAGCAGAGCUGUGGUGUUGCACUGUCUGUGCCCAGGUGAGGCUGUGAAAUCCACCUGGAUAUUUGAAAACUGGGUUUCCUUGUCCAAUCUAAGCAAAGGUUGCACGAGGUCACCUGGCUUUUCCCUUUCCCCUUCACCUCCCUAUUCCUAAAUUAGGAUUUCCAGGACAGCUUGGGAUGGGAAACUGCUCCCAAAAGCUUCUCUUUGAAUUCUGGGAUCUUCAGCUGGCACAAACUGAUGCUUCAUUAUCAAAAGUGUGUUUUAAAGUGCAGGGCAACACCUCCAGGAGCUGCUGUUUCCUACGAGUUCCUCACUCGAGAGAAAAGAAGGGACAACAAAAAUCAUCUGCAUCCAACAGCAAGGAGUUGAACAGGAUGAGUGGUGGAAGAUCUCCAGAUCCUGGAAAGGAUCCAGCGGAAUCCAGUGCUGCCUUUGGCACCUCAGACUGGGAACUCAGAACAAGCAGCCCUUGCUCUCAGGAGCUGCCCAGCAGAAUCCAGGAUCCAGAAUCUGUUUUUCUGGGAACCCAGAACAAGCAGCCCUUGCUCUCAGGAGCUGCCCAGCAGAAUCCAGGAUCCAGAAUCUGUUUUUCUGGGAACCCAGAACAAGCAGCCCUUGCUCUCAGGAGCUGCCCAGCAGCAGCACAGGGCUGGAUUUAAAUCCCAUCCCUCCGCUCUCCAGGAAGGUGAUGCAUUCCUUCCAGGAUCUACAGCCCCGGACAAACAUUCCCCACAAGUUUUCGCCUGAUUCUGUAUUUUCAGAAAAUGAAUAAGCUGUAAAAAAAAAAAAAACAAACAAACCAACCCCAAACCUGGAGGAGAAGGGCUGCACCCCGAGCACCACCUUGAGCAUCCCGGAACAGGAAGGCUCUGUCCCCGUAGCUGCUCGUCUCUGGGACUCCUGUCCCGUUCUGUCACCUCAAUUCGAUGUGAUUUUUGGAAGACUAAGCGUCCCUUCCCACCCCGCCGGCUCCCCGCUUACCUUCAGCGUAGCCUUGCGGACCUGCCCGAGCGCCCUGAGCCCGCCGAGGGAUCUCGCCUGGAAGUUGCC